UACGUAGGGGGCAAGCGUUGUCCGGAAUUAUUGGGCGUAAAGAGCGCGUAGGCGGUCCGAUAAGUCGGCUGUGAAAGUCAGGGGCUCAACCCUUGAAAGCCGGCCGAUACUGUCGGACUAGAGUCCGGAAGAGGCAAGUGGAAUUCCCGGUGUAGCGGUGAAAUGCGCAGAUAUCGGGAGGAACACCGGUGGCGAAGGCGGAUCUCUGGGCCAUAACUGACGCUGAGGAGCGAAAGCAUGGGGAGCGAACAGG
rnacentral:rRNA from 1 species